CCACAGGCGCUUGGGUCUAGGAUACAGAUUUUUUUAUUUCUUUUUUAUUAAAAUAUUCAAUUUUCUAUAUUUAUAAUACAUAUCUAUCACUUCUGUGUAUCUCUCACCUAGUUUCGAGUGACUUAAACGACCCAGAGAAAAUACCCAAUUUUACUAUCCAUACUAAGAAACAAAAAGGCAACUAACUCGACGCCAUUUUUCUGCUAUCUAUAAAUAAAUAGAUUGACCUACCUGGAUUCCCCAACGAUUUCUCUGGGAAAACGUGCCUUCUUUGCCGUCAGAUCGCACACAUCGUUGAUAUUUAUCAAAUUGGUAUUGUUCGUAACAUUUUUAGUCCAUCUCCAGCAUAUAAUAAAAAGAUUUUAACUAUUUUGACUAAUUUCAAAUUUACGUGCCCGGAAGUUGACUGUUUUUCCCGAACUUUUGUUAAAGGGAAGUAAUAAUUUCC
rnacentral:lncRNA from 1 species